GACGAAGGGGGCUAGCGUUGUUCGGAAUUACUGGGCGUAAAGCGAGUGUAGGCGGUUGCCCAAGUCAGGUGUGAAAGCCUUGAGCUCAACUCAAGAAAUGCACUUGGUACUGGGUGGCUAGAGGACCGGAGAGGAUAGUGGAAUUCCCAGUGUAGUGGUGAAAUACGUAGAGAUUGGGAAGAACACCAGUGGCGAAGGCGGCUAUCUGGACGGUUACUGACACUGAGACACGAAGGCCAGGGGAGCAAACGGG
rnacentral:rRNA from 1 species